GAUGAACGCUGGCGGCGUGCCUAAUACAUGCAAGUCGAGCGAACGGACGAGAAGCUUGCUUUUCUGAUGUUAGCGGCGGACGGGUGGGUAACACGUGGAUAACCUACCUAUAAGACUGGGAUAACUUCGGGAAACCGGAGCUAAUACCGGAUAAUAUUUUGAACCGCAUGGUUCAAAAGUGAAAGACGGUCUUGCUGUCACUUAUAGAUGGAUCCGCGCUGCAUUAGCUAGUUGGUAAGGUAACGGCUUACCAAGGCAACGAUGCAUAGCCGACCUGAGAGGGUGAUCGGCCACACUGGAACUGAGACACGGUCCAGACUCCUACGGGAGGCAGCAGUAGGGAAUCUUCCGCAAUGGGCAAAAGCCUGACGGAGCAACGCCGCGUGAGUGAUGAAGGUCUUCGGAUCGUAAAACUCUGUUAUUAGGGAAGAACAUAUGUGUAAGUAACUGUGCACAUCUUGACGGUACCUAAUCAGAAAGCCACGGCUAACUACGUG
rnacentral:rRNA from 1 species